CUCAGGAUGAACGCUGGCGGUAUGCCUAACACAUGCAAGUCGAACGGAAUCUUCGGAUUCAGUGGCGGACGGGUGAGUAACGCGUGAGAAUCUGCCUUCAGGAUGGGGACAACAGUGAGAAAUCGCUGCUAAAACCCAAUGUGCCGAGAGGUGAAAUACUUGUAGCCUGAAGAGGAGCUCGCGUCCGAUUAGUUAGUUGGUGGGGUAAGAGCCUACCAAGGCAGCGAUCGGUAGCUGGUCUGAGAGGAUGAGCAGCCACACUGGGACUGAGACACGGCCCAGACUCCUACGGGAGGCAGCAGUGGGGAAUUUUCCGCAAUGGGCGAAAGCCUGACGGAGCAAUACCGCGUGAGGGAGGAAGGUUUUUGGAUUGUAAACCUCUUUUGUUAAGGAAGAAGAAAGUGACGGUACUUAACGAAUAAGCAUCGGCUAACUCCGUGCCAGCAGCCGCGGUAAUACGGAGGAUGCAAGCGUUAUCCGGAAUCAUUGGGCGUAAAGCGUCCGCAGGUGGUUAAUCAAGUCUGCUGUUAAAGACAGAAGCUCAACUUCUGAUAGGCAGUGGAAACUGGGUAACUAGAGUAUGGUAGGGGUUGAGGGAAUUCCCAGUGUAGCGGUGAAAUGCGUAGAUAUUGGGAAGAACACCAGUGGCGAAGGCGCUCAACUGGGCCAUAACUGACACUCAGGGACGAAAGCUAGGGUAGCGAAAGGGAUUAGAUACCCCUGUAGUCUUAGCUGUAAACGAUGAACACUAGGCGUUGCUUGUAUCGACCCGAGCAGUGCCGUAGCCAACGCGUUAAGUGUUCCGCCUGGGGAGUACGCACGCAAGUGUGAAACUCAAAGGAAUUGACGGGGGCCCGCACAAGCGGUGGAGUAUGUGGUUUAAUUCGAUGCAACGCGAAGAACCUUACCAGGACUUGACAUCUCGAGAAGUUCGCCUCAUAGCGAAUGUGCCUUAGGGAACUCGAAGACAGGUGGUGCAUGGCUGUCGUCAGCUCGUGUCGUGAGAUGUUGGGUUAAGUCCCGCAACGAGCGCAACCCUCGUUCUUAGUUGCCAGCAUUAAGUUGGGCACUUUAGGAAGACUGCCGGUGACAAACCGGAGGAAGGUGGGGAUGACGUCAAGUCAGCAUGCCCCUUACGUUCUGGGCUACACACGUACUACAAUGGUUGGGACAAAGGGCAGCGAGCGAGUAAUCGUAAGCGAAUCUCAU
rnacentral:rRNA from 1 species